GCAGUGGUGGCUCAGGGGUAGAAUUCUUGCCUCCCAUGUAGGAGACCCAGGUUUAAUACCUGGCCAAUCCA
rfam:Loxodonta africana unplaced genomic scaffold scaffold_113, whole genome shotgun sequence.